UACGGGGGGAGCAAGCGUUGUUCGGAUUUACUGGGCGUAAAGGGCGCGUAGGCGGCCAGCACACGUCAGUUGUGAAAUCUCCGGGCUUAACUCGGAAAGGUCAACUGAUACUGUGCGGCUAGAGUGCAGAAGGGGCAACUGGAAUUCUCGGUGUAGCGGUGAAAUUCGUAGAUAUCGAGAGGAACACCGGUGGCGAAGGCGGCCUUCUGGACAGUGACUGACGCUGAGACGCGAAAGCGUGGGGAGCAAACAGG
rnacentral:rRNA from 1 species